rnacentral:rRNA from 1 species
AUUGAACGCUGGCGGCAGGCCUAACACAUGCAAGUCGAGCGGCAGCGGAAAGUAGCUUGCUCCCAAGAAGUUAGCGGCGGACGGGUGAGUAACACGUGGGCAACCUGCCUGACAGACUGGGAUAACAUUCGGAAACGAAUGCUAAUACCGGAUAGGCAGCGAAGAGGCAUCUCUUUGCUGAGAAAGGCGCUACGGCGUCACUGUCAGACGGGCCCGCGGCGCAUUAGCUCGUUGGUAGGGUAACGGCCUACCAAGGCGACGAUGCGUAGCCGACCUGAGAGGGUGACCGGCCACACUGGGACUGAGACACGGCCCAGACUCCUACGGGAGGCAGCAGUAGGGAAUCUUCCACAAUGGGCGAAAGCCUGAUGGAGCAACGCCGCGUGAGUGAUGAAGGCCUUCGGGUUGUAAAACUCUGUCUUCUGGGACGAACGGCCAAGAGAGGGAAAGCUCUUGGAUUGACGGUACCAGAGGAGGAAGCCACGGCUAACUACGUGCCAGCAGCCGCGGUAA